UACGGAGGGUGCGAGCGUUAUCCGGAGUUACUGGGCGUAAAGGGCGUGCAGGCGGUCUGUUAAGUCUGGCGUGAAAGCUCCCGGCUAAACCGGGAGAGGUCGUUGGAGACUGGCAGACUGGAGGACGGUAGAGGCGAGUGGAAUUCCGGGUGUAGUGGUGAAAUGCGUAGAUAUCCGGAGGAACACCAGUGGCGAAGGCGUAUCGCUGGGCCGUACCUGACGCUGAGACGCGACAGCAUGGGGAGCGAACGGG
rnacentral:rRNA from 1 species